rnacentral:tRNA from 1 species
GCCCGCGUGGUGGAAUGGUAGACACAGGGGACUUAAAAUCCCCAGGCUUUAAUGCCGUGCCGGUUCGAGUCCGGCCGCGGGUA